AGCUCGUGGAGGAGAAAACCACAAAAUUGGGAAUGGAGAGGGGAACAUUCCUCUCCAUCUCCCCAGGACCUUCUGAAGGGGGACAGCAGAGGCAACAGGCCCCCUAGGACACAGCCUUGGGGCCAACUCCCCCCUCCCAGCUUGUCCCAGCUCAUCCCAGCUGCAAUAGGAGGACAGGACAGGCAGAGAUCUCAUGUGUCCCUCAGCACUGGUUCCUCCUCCCACCCCCCCAGACCCCAUAGGGAGGGGGACACAAAGGCACAUGGUCCUGGGGACAGCGUGGGGACACCACUGGAGCUGCUCCUGAGGACCCCAGAGAGGAGGCAGUGGGGGGGGGGGGGGGGGGGUCGGGGCUCCAGCAUCGGGGACAACAGGGCCACCCCACUGCCAGGCCCACAGGGACACUGACAAAAGGGCAGGAGAAGGGCACAGCCACCCCACAACUCCCAGUACAACCCCACCCUGUCCCAGCAUCCCUCUGGCCAUUGCUGACCCACCCCAGGUGGAUUUUUUUUUUUUUUUUUUUUUUUUUUUUUUACUUUUUUUGGGUUGGUUUUUUUUUCUUUUAAUGGAUACAAAACAAAAGAGAAAAAGAAAACAAAGCAAGAGAGAAGGUGACAGGACAGAAGGGUGAGAGAACACAUAAGCCUCCGGUGCUCCCUGCAGCAAACCGGGUCCACAGCUCAGCACCCGGUGGGAGUCCAGCAGGGCUUUAAAUCUUUCCUUUUAGAAAAAAAAAAAAAAAAGACAGGGGAAAAAAAAAAAAAGAUCUUGGAUCCCACCGGGCGUCAGGGGGCCGUCUGCAGCAUCAAGUUCCUCAGGAGUUUCUGGCGCCCAACCUCGUAAUCCUCCUCAUCCACAUUGACCAGCAGUUUGAUGGCUUCGUGCCCCACGGCUUGCUUGAGCGAGUCCGUGAUGAAGACGCCCUUGAGGGCCUCCAGCAAAGAGCCGUUGAUGUAAUCGCGCCAGAACGCGUCGAGGUAGGUGAGCUCUGAGAAUUUUAUGUCACAGAUGAUGGAGCCCAGGUCCCGGGACUUCAGGAUGGUGUUGGCUUGGUUGAAGCGCUCGAACUGGCGCUCCAGCGGGUCCUGCUUGUUGGAGAAGACGUUGCCCUGGAGCGCCGUCUCGUGCUGGCAGUACUCGGCUCGGACUCGCAAGCGGAUGUCACACGUCUGCUUCUCCUUGGGGUCUGGAGUCACCGACUUCCUGCGCUUGCGCUGGCUGCUGAGGAGGGCCCUGCCGCGGCCGGGCCUCUUGGUGCAGAUCUGCGGCCCCGCCGAGGAACAGCAGACCAUGGGGUGCUGGGGAGGCACUGAUUUGUGGGGGUGGCCGAGGCUAUGUUCUGCAGUGCUGUGAGCCCGCGGCGUCACGUAGCGGAUGGAGGUCUCCUCCAAGUACUUGUCUACCAGGUCCGGACACACAGCCCGUCGCCUCUUGAGGGUGACGUACGGCAGCAGGUCGUGGCGCGUGAUGAUCCGCAGCAGCUGCAGCACCUGCCUGAAGUUGGUCUCAUCACAGCGGCCCUGCCGCUCCAGCGCCAGCAAGAAGUCCCUGCCACUGCGGAUCAUGCCCCGCUCAUAGUCAUCUAUGACGUCCACGAAGAGGAAGGAGAGGACGCGCACAUCGCGGUGCGUCAGGUGAGUGCCCACGAUGUCGAACAUGCGGUGCAGGCUGUACAGCCCGUGCUCACGGUCGCCCUGCUCCUCGGGCCAGGCCUGCGCACGACUGCGUUUCAGGGCUGCCAUCUCUGCCCAGCACGUGGUUCCUUAAUGAGGAGCUCCUCUGCUCUGCGUGUAUCUGCUCCGAUGUGAAUCCAAGCACGGAUCUCUCUGAAGUCCCCUAUCCCCUUUUCUCCCAGAUUUCUUCAACACAGUGCCCCAGCAGGGUCACCUAUAGCCCUACAGCGUGGCUCACGUAUGGCUCUUGUCACAGGAAGCCACACUUCCAGCGUUGGUGGCCCUCUCGCCACGGUGGACUUUCCAGAAGCCACCAAACAGUCUUUUUGUAUUUUUUUAAGCAACUCCAACACCCAAACUUUUUUUUUUUCUUUUUCUUUUUUUUAAAUCCGUACUUCACUCUAUAAUAAUUUAUUGAUGUCCUGUAUCAACCCUGUGCUCCUCACGCUGCUCCUUCGAACACCUUCUCAAUCCCAAAUCCCCAUUCCUCCCUCAGCAGCACAACCAAGUGAGGGGCAGGCAGCUUUAAACCUGUUUGUUCCCCAAGAGCUCCUCCAGAAAAUUGGUUUUGC
rnacentral:lncRNA from 1 species